AUGUGCAUCAAAGCUGCUCACACGCCCGGUCCAACAGGGGGCGCCAUACACCGGGAAGGGAAUGAUAAUGCAAGAAAUCCCCUAAUUCUGGUGAUCAGAGCCUUCAGCUGUCACUGUCACAUCGCCCACGAUUUUGGGGCUCAUCCGGGAUCCAAAACACGACCGCUUGACACUCUUGUGACGAUGGGCGAGGUGCACCUCCACCGUCAUCCCAAGAGUGUCGAGCGGUCGGAGUUUUGGAUCUCGGACAAGGCCCCCAAUUUGUUAGAAACAGAAAUCACUUAUAAAUCAGUUGGAGACAAAGCCAUGGAAGCAAGAACAAUUUAUUACGAACUUGCAAGUGUCCAGUCGGAGAUUGUUUUGAUUCAGCCAGAGGCAGAGACUGGCCAUCCCGCAGGCAGCCUGAAACUGACCUGUAAAACCAGCGGCUUCAAUCUUGGCAGCUACACAAUGAGCUGGGUCCGACAGGUUCCCGGCCAGGGUCUGGAGUGUCUGGUUAGCUACUAUAAUUCAAACAGCAAUAACUAUGCACGAGCAAUUAAGGGUCAAUUUACUGCAUCCAAAGAAACUUCAAACAACAUUUUCGCGUUGGACAUGGGGUACCUGAAGAUCGAAGACACCGCCAUCUAUUACUGUGCAAGAGGGGAUAGCUGGAAUUACUAUCUUGAAUACUGGGGCCAAGGGACCAUGGUGACAGUGACUUCAGAGACACCAUCUCCUCCGACACUUUAUGGCCUGGUCUCCUCCUGUGAGGAGCUCAACACCAAUUCCACAAUCUUUGGUUGUUUGGUGAUGGACUAUUCCCCUGACAUCACCACGGUAACCUGGAAGAAAGGUGGGGAGCUAAUCAGGAAUGGAUUGAAGACUUACCCAUCAGUGAGAAACAAGAAGGGAACCUACACCCUGAGCAGCCAGUUAACCCUGCCCGGGUCAGUGGUAUAUUGCUCCAGCAAAAUCUACUGUGAGGUUCAACACAGCGGGUCACACAAGAGCAAAGAAAUGCCAUGUCCAGGUACAGGUUCUGUCCCACCAACUCUUCUCCUAACUGUGAGCUCCAGUGAAGAAAUCGCAAGCAGCAAGUUUGCAACCGUCGUCUGUUCAAUCAUCAAUUUCCAUCCAAAGUCAAUCUCCGUGAGUUGGUUGAAAAAUGGCCAACUCUUGGAUUCUGGCUUCUUCACGUUUCCCGUGUGUGAGGCGAACGGGAACUUCUCGGUGACGAGUCGGCUGAUGGUCCCUUAUGGUAAAUGGUACAACAGCGCAGUCUAUACCUGCCAGGUCACUCACGAAGAGAACAUUCAAAGUAAAAACAUUGCCGCACUCCAGGAAGAUACCGAGUGCCACCCUAACACCGUUAAUAUCCUCCCACCGCCAGUAGAACAAGUCUUACUGGAGUCGACAGUGACGUUAACCUGCGUUGUGUUCAAUCUUCCUUCUGGAGUCAACGUGACCUGGAAACAAGAAAAUAAGCCUCUGAAAUCAGAGAUUGCUGACCAGCCUGGACAGAAUCCCGACAGCGUGAUCAGCAAAUUAGACACUUCUACUGAAGCCUGGCUGAGUGGUGUUACUUUUGAAUGUGUGGUGUACCAUCAGAAUCUAUCGACUCCGCUGAGAGACUCCAUCCACAAGGAAAAAGUGAUUAAUCCGCUGGAGCCAUCAGUGUCGGUCCUCCUGCCACCAACAGAAGAAAUCUCCGCUCAGAGGUUUCUCUCCAUCACCUGUUUAGUGAGAGGUUUCUCCCCCCGAGAGAUCUUCGUCAAGUGGACAAACAAUGACAAACAAGUGAAUCCCAGUAACUACAAGAACACCGAGGUGAUGGCGGAGAGUGACAACACCUCCUUCUUCAUCUACAGCCUGUUAUCCAUUACAGCGGAGGAGUGGGCCAGCGGUGCUUCUUACACCUGUGUGGUGGGACAUGAAGCGAUUCCAUUGAAGAUCAUCAACAGAACAGUCGAUAUAUCCAGCGAUUCAAUAGAUCGCACGUGGAUUGAAAACUAUGAGGAUGAUAACAGCAACAUCUGGACAACUGCUUCCACAUUCAUCACCUUGUUCUUCCUGAGUAUUUUCUACAGCGCUGCCGUCACUCUGGUGAAGCAUUAUUGA